GACGAACGCUGGCGGCGUGCUUAACACAUGCAAGUCGAACGGAAAGGCACUGCUUUUGUGGGGUGCUCGAGUGGCGAACGGGUGAGUAACACGUGAGUAACCUGCCCUUGACUUUGGGAUAACUUCAGGAAACUGGGGCUAAUACCGGAUAGGAGCUCCUGCUGCAUGGUGGGGGUUGGAAAGUUUCGGCGGUUGGGGAUGGACUCGCGGCUUAUCAGCUUGUUGGUGGGGUAGUGGCUUACCAAGGCUUUGACGGGUAGCCGGCCUGAGAGGGUGACCGGCCACAUUGGGACUGAGAUACGGCGCAGACUCCUACGGGAGGCAGCAGGGGGGAAUAUUGCACAAUGGGCGGGAGCCGGAUGCAGCAACGCCGCGUGCGGGAUGACGGCCUUCGGGUUGUAAACCGCUUUCGCCUGUGACGAAGCGUGAGUGACGGUAAUGGGUAAAGAAGCACCGGCUAACUACGUG
rnacentral:rRNA from 1 species